GUCCCCGUAGGUUACAUAGCUGGAAGACCACCCACAUAUUGUACGUAACUACCAGGGAUUUAAUCGGGAAACGGCGGUUCGAAUCCGCUCGGGGACG